ACAAUCCUGUGGUGUGCGUCACGCUUUAUUUUAAUCCUACAGAGUUGAUUUGGGAGCUUGGGUCUGGCGAGAACGGCCAUGCCCUCUACGGGAGGGAAGGCCAGCGGCGCCAGUAAAGCACCCCCCUGCCACGAGGCGGGAGUUAAAAUCAAAGUGAACGGCACAACGGGGACCGC
rnacentral:other from 1 species